GAUGAACGCUGGCGGCGUGCCUAAUACAUGCAAGUCGAGCGAACAGACGAGGAGCUUACUCCUCUGACGUUAGCGGCGGACGGGUGAGAAACACGUGGAUAACCUACCUAUAAGACUGGGAUAACUUCGGGAAACCGGAGCUAAUACCGGAUAACAUGUUGAACCGCAUGGUUCAACAGUGAAAGACGGUCUUGCUGUCACUUAUAGAUGGAUCCGCGUCGCAUUAGCUAGUUGGUAAGGUAACGGCUUACCAAGGUAACGAUGCGUAGCCGACCUGAGAGGGUGAUCGGCCACACUGGAACUGAGACACGGUCCAGACUCCUACGGGAGGCAGCAGUAGGGAAUCUUCCGCAAUGGGCGAAAGCCUGACGGAGCAACGCCGCGUGAGUGAAGAAGGUCUUCGGAUCGUAAAACUCUGUUAUUAGGGAAGAACAAAUGUGUAAGUAACUAUGCACGUCUUGACGGUACCUAAUCAGGAAGCCACGGCUAACUACGUG
rnacentral:rRNA from 1 species